AUUGAACGCUGGCGGUAUGCUUAACACAUGCAAGUCGAACGAUGAGAAAGAGCUUGCUCUUUCGAUUAGUGGCGGACGGGUGCGUAACGCGUAGGAAUCUACCUAUUAGUGGGGGACAACUUAGGGAAACUUAAGCUAAUACCGCAUACGCCCUACGGGGGAAAGAAGGGGAUCGCAAGACCUUUUGCUAAUAGAUGAGCCUGCGUAGGAUUAGCUAGUUGGUGGGGUAAAAGCUCACCAAGGCGACGAUCCUUAACUGGUUUGAGAGAAUGAUCAGUCACACUGGAACGAGGAAACGGUCCAGACUCCUACGGGAGGCAGUAGUGGGGAAUAUUGGACAAUGGGCGAAAGCCUGAUCCAGCAAUACCGCGUGGGUGAAGAAGGCCUUAGGGUUGUAAAGCACUUUCAAUUGGAAGGAAGACCUCGAAGCUAAUACCUUCGAGUUUGACAUUGCCUUUAGAAGAAGCACCGGCUAACUCCGUGCCAGCAGCCGCCGCCG
rnacentral:rRNA from 1 species